CCAAGAAAUUAACUGCAGCUGCUUUGCUUUCUCUGUAUACUUUUGAAUACAGCUUGUUUCUCCAGCUGAUCGAGUGAAACAGCGCCCCCAAUUACCAUAGCAACCACACAGCAAUAAAGUUAUAAACUCUGUCAGAUCCACUCCACACUUCUGCUUAUUCGUUCGUUGUCAAUGUCUUGCCGUUGCUGUCCUCAGAUCAGUUAAGCUGAUCUAAGAUCACUUAAGGUGACGUCACUCACUCUCACUCACGAGAGAGAUUGAUUGUAUACAUCCAGGCGCAGAUCCAUGGUCUCACGAAACUAACGGAUGCCCCACACACACACACAUUGUGCUUUUACAAGCGAGCGUGGGCCUGGCACGUGCAUUAUUUUGGCUGGUGUGGAAAAAUGUAUCAAUUUUUGGUCAGAAAAUGACCUCAUCCAGAGGAAUCAGUGGUGUCUCAGCCUGAGCCUGUCUUAAUUGAAAGUGACAUGCAGAAAGAAGUAAGUGGGGAUGAGGACGACAGCAGUUCAUCGAAGGAGUAUGAGGGCGAAGUAGAGGAACAAGAACUGGAGCGGGAUUCGGAAGAGGACGUGGAUGUAGCUGCUCUUAGUGCGAGUGGGAAUACAGUUAGCGAUGUUAGCCAGCAGCCUGAGGAAGGACCCUGUGGGCUAGCAUUGAAAAAGUACCCUUCACUGCACGCAGCAGUUUGGCAAUCAGCGAAGGAGAUUUAUUUGUGGCUGGUUUGACCUGUACUCCUGGCUGGAAUAUUCAAUCACAGAAGAUGCUACAUUCUGCUUCGCAUGCAGGCAUUUCCUGUGUGGAGGACAUGGGUUCCAUUCUGAGUCUACCUUCACUGUCACCGGUUACCGCAACUGGCGGAAAGCUACAACAGCUUUCAAAACCCACCAUGUAAGUGCAGCUCAUAAGUUUGCUAUGGAGGCAUGGGCUGAAUUCAGAUUGAGAAACAAGACGGUUCAAGAUUGGGAAAUAUGCUAGACAAAGGACAUGCAAAGAUUGUCCAAGAAAAUUGUGAGUAUAUGAGAGCAGUGGUUGUGUCUCUACGCUAUACUGCGUGCCAAGGCAUUGCCCAGCGAGGACACCGGGAGAAUGAUGGAUCUGGCAAUAGGGGAAACUUUGUUGAGUUUCUCAAUGUAAUUGGUAAGUUUAGUAAGACUGUAGCUAAAAAAAAUAGAGGACAAUCCUGGAAAUGCAAAAUCCACCCAUCACGAUAUCCAAAAUGAAAUUAUGGGUAUUAUGGCAGAUAUGGUCAGACGUCAAAUAAGUGCAGAAAUCAAGGAGGCUGGAUAUUUUGCCAUCAUGGUGGAUGAAAGUAAAGACUUGAGCAAAAAGGAGCAAAUAUCAGUGGUGGUGCAGUAUCUGAAUAACAAAACAGUGCUUGAAGAAUUCUUGCACUUUACUCCAGCAGAAAGGUUGGGUGCAGAGUCGCUUCUUAAAAGCAUUGAACAGACACUCGCCCAGUGUGUUAUUGUUAAGAACGCCUACAUAGGUCAGUGUUAUGACAGUGAUGUCCGGGUGCAAUAACGAGGUACAAGAGAGGUUCAGGAAAGAGGUCCCGCAGGCAUUAUAUAUACACUGCCAUGCUCACAGACUUAACCUUGUUUUAGUGGAUGUUGUGAGCAAUGUACCACAAGCGGGUGAGUUUUUUGAAACUGUGCAGCUGCUUUACAACUUAUUUUCAACUCUGUUGCCCAUGAUCUUUUCAUGAAGAAACCAGGAGAACUGGAAUCAUCUGCACAGCCCGUGGAGUUGAAGAAAUUGUCAGAUACACGCUGGGCGUGGCAGUAUACAGCUUUGUGGGCUAUAAGGAAAUCACUCCCUGCCAUUCUAUCUACACUACAGGAUAUUAUGCGUCAAGCAAAUGCACGGAGGAAAACGGAGGUCAGAGCUGUAAAUGGACUGAUUGACGAGCAGUUUGCUUUACUUCUCACUCUGUUUGAGGAUUUAUUCUGAGUCACCAAGUUCAUGUCAGCCCAGCUACGAUCUCCCAGUUUGGAGCUUUCAUCCGCUGUGGACUUGGCUCAGUCUGUCAUCGAUGCACUCUCAGCAAAACGGGGAGAGGAAUCAUGGGGUGAAAUUCAGGCAAGAGCUAGGGACCUGUGCGACAAGGCCGGUAUGCAGAGCAGACCACAUGAAAGGAGACAGGCCCAGCCACCCCGCCGCCUGCAUGAUUUUGUUUUUGCGGCCCAAACUGAACGCACACCUGACACAUCCUCUGAUGACCUUCGCAACAACUGUUUCUAUCCUGUUAUAGACAGACUUCUGACUGAAAUGAAAAGACAGUUCUUAAUUGAGACUGGGGGUGUUCUGACUGGAGUCUCAGCAUUGAGUCCCAAACACAAGUUCUUCCUCAACAGGAAUUGUUAUUGGCCAAUUGCCGAAUACUAUGCAGUGACUGAAGUGAACCUGACUGCAGAGCUACAUCAGGUUCAGCGUCUGCUGGAAACAAAACAAAAGCAAGGACAGACAGUGAAUGACACAGUGGAAUUUCUAGCUCUAACGAGACCCUACCGCGAUGCAUUUAUAGAAUUAUGCAAACUGAUCUGCAUAUUACUGACUCUUCCUAUUACAUCUGCCUGCCUCAUGCGAACGGUGUUUCUCUUGCCUCAGACGUGUCAAAAACUACUUAAGGAAUAGCAGCGUUGAUGCUCGGAACAGCAGCUUGGCUCUGUUGACCAUAAACAGCCAGAGGACCAAAGCACUUGACAUCCAGAAAAUCAUUGAUGCUUUCGCCACCAAUCACAACAACAGACAGAUUGUGCUUCUCUGAAAACAUCAAUGACGUGUCAAAAACUACUUAAGGAAUAGCAGCGUUGAUGCUCGGAACAGCAGCUUGGCUCUGUUGACCAUAAACAGCCAGAGGACCAAAGCACUUGACAUCCAGAAAAUCAUUGAUGCUUUCGCCACCAAUCACAACAACAGACAGAUUGUGCUUCUCUGAAAACAUCAAUGACGUGUCAAAAACUACUUAAGGAAUAGCAGCGUUGAUGCUCGGAACAGCAGCUUGGCUCUGUUGACCAUAAACAGCCAGAGGACCAAAGCACUUGACAUCCAGAAAAUCAUUGAUGCUUUCGCCACCAAUCACAACAACAGACAGAUUGUGCUUCUCUGAAAACAUCAAUGGUGAGUGCAGUUGAUUUUUUAAAAAUUUGGGCCAAGGUUAAUUCUGAUUAUUAUUGUUAUUUUCUACCCCAUAGUCCUUAUGUUUCCUGCAAACCCUAAAAUACUACAUUUACUGCUAUUAAGCCUACUGGUUUUGCUUACACUUCCAAGGGUGAUUCUGUUGAUUUUUGUUUUAAAUUCAAUAGCCGAAUUAAUUGAGGUAUUGCAUGGUCAGAGUACGAUUUGUCCA